rnacentral:rRNA from 1 species
UACGGAGGGUGCAAGCGUUAUCCGGAUUUACUGGGUUUAAAGGGUGCGUAGGCGGGCCAUUAAGUCAGAUGUGAAAGCCUCAAGCUCAACUUGAGAACUGCGUUUGAUACUGGUGGCCUUGAAUGCGAUAGAAGUGGGCGGAACGAAUCGUGUAGCGGUGAAAUGCUUAGAUAUGAUUCGGAACACCAAUUGCGAAGGCAGCUCACUAUGCCGUUAUUGACGCUGAGGCACGAAAGCGUGGGGAUCAAACAGG